CAUAUUUUCUUUUUGCACCCUUAUAUCAUGUUUACAUCCUUGUGUUAUAUAUCUUUUUUAUAUGAAAAUAUAAUUAACGAUUUUUAAUUUAUUAAUUGAUUAGUUUAAUUGAGUAAUGUUUUUUAAUAGUUAAAUAGUUUCUUUGAUUAAUUAUUCCAUCGGUUCCAGUGCGUUGCGAAUUCAGAGCAUAAUUUGGGUUUGCUUCUGAACACGUUUCGACGCAUAUAUUUUGUUCUCCGACUUCUUAUGGAGUAAUUCCUAUAUGAAUCCACUUUAAGUUAGCUUAAUAUAGAGCUAAAUUAAUUAUUUUAAAUUCGGUUUAUUUUACCUUUGUAAGUGUUGUACAUAAUGUAUAGAAUUACUGUUGUUUGAUUCAUUGCGUUGCAAUUUCGAAGCUUUAAUUCAUUUUACCUUUCAGAAACCGCUUGAACGCAUAUAUUUUGUUGUUUGACUUCUUAUAGAGUGAUUCCUACAUGAAUCUACUUUAAGUUAUCUUAACCUAGAGCUAAAUUAAUUACUAUAGACUUCGGUUUAUUUCUGAUCUCUUGUCUUUCUCUUGAGUAUUUUUAGAUUGAUUUCCUUGUUGUUCACAUUUGUUUAAAGAGCUUGUAUUUUAACCGCUUUAUUAUAUUCUCAUUCUAAUUACUAUAGACUUCGGUUUAUUUCUGAUCUCUUGUCUUUCUCUUGAGUAUUUUUAGAUUGAUUUCCUUGUUGUUCACAUUUGUUUAAAGAGCUUGUAUUUUAACCGCUUUAUUAUAUUCUCAUUCAAUCAAAUGUGCCCGCAUUCUCGGGAUGUGUAAUAAUUUUACUAUUUUCCUUUAUUUUUGUUCUUAUUGCAUUAGUUAAUGGUUAACUCAAAGAUUAAAAUCAACCACUUUCAGAAAAGAACAAAAAUAAUGCUUGAUCCAAUGUCGAGCCUAUUUCCCAAAUUAAAUCCAAAUUGAAUGCAACGUGAGUGCUUGAUAUAACAUCAAAUAUUUUUUCCUAUGAAAUUCAAAUGCUUUUAUAAUCAAACAUUUGAUCCAACGUUAAGUUGCCCAUCAAUAAACUAUUUUUGCAAUAAGUAAUCGAUUGAAAAAGAUUAAUGCAGAAGUAAUUUUCUUUACCUUUUCUGAAUAUUCAUGUGAUGACCGCACUUAGCAUGCCGUUUGAAUAUUUCUCAAUCACUCAAAAAUAUUCAAACACAUAAAACUCGUUUUCUCUCCCUUGCGAGACUUCGAAAACAUUUUUCAAAAGUGAGUAUGCUUUAUCCAUAUUGACGUGAAACAAACAUAGGCUUCUGCCUCCAAGAGCGAGCAACAAGCAAAGGUUUAGUCAAUCGAUAUGUCUAAAGAAUCACUACUUAAAAGCAAUCAACUCAGUAGUUAUUUGUUACCAAUAACUACAUAUCCUUUAGUUCUGCAUAACAUCUAGAGAUACGUAGAAGUAGGACUGUGAAAUCUUG
rnacentral:lncRNA from 1 species